GUGUAUGUACAGUAUGUGCGUGAGUUUUUAAUUUAAAAUGUCUUAACUUAACUCGGAAGGAUCUGAAUGACAGGUCAUUUCAUCUGAGAUCAUUCCGCAUGUAACAGCCGGAAUCACUCACUGUUUCCCACAACGACACGAGUCAUCAGCCGUUUCCUCAAGGUCACGUCAGGUAAGUGUUUGUAAAUAAAUGUUAAUUUUAGACUAUAUUAAUUGGCAAAGACGCAAAUACUCGACGUUUUUGUAAACAUAUAAGUUAUAUAAAGGUGUGUUAUGUUAUGUGACCGACUUAAAGUGUGUGUUACGUUAUGUGUCCGAGUUAAAGUGGAGCUAUUUUAGUUAAGAUAAUACCGGACAGGGUUUAGGACUCCGUCUUAAUUAUAAUUGGGACAUUUUUACAAACAAACCUUAUAAAAUACAAUACUAGUGUGCAUUUUGAGACAAAACAAUAGCACUCAUAUGUUAACAGAUGUCAGUAUUUUAGUCAGUGAUAAGUCCUGUCCGAGAAAACCGCCCAAUAGUGUUUAAUUCAAUUACGUGUGAUGUCUGAGGGAAACUUGGCAAUUUUAGGGUAUAAAAUCUUUCACCGUCAAGCUUUAUUAUAUUAAACAUGUUAUUUAUGUAUGUGUGUGUGUUUAUAUUCCUCUGUUUAUUAAACCAGAGGGGUGGUGAUGUGGAGAGGCAGACCAGACCACCACCAUACGCGAAGAUGAGCCUCGAGGCUUGACAGUUAUUUUUUCAAACUGAGGAGUUCGGACUCCGGACCGUCAUUUCCGCUUGUUUGUACCCUGAGAUAACCAUGGUUAAUAAAUGGUCAGACACGUCACUGGCUUUAAAAUAUAAACCCCAUUGAUGCAAAAAGGUAAGGUGCUUAAAAGGACCUUGUAAGACUUCGUCACUAAUGUUCACCCACAAAUUAAAAUUGUCGUCACUUUCUUCAGCAGAACACAACAGAAGAAAUUUUGAAAAAGUAUGGUAAUCGAACAACAAUGGUGCCCAUUGACCUGCAUUGGUUUUGUGUCCAUUAAAUUGCUAGCAGAGUUGUUCGGUUACAGACAUUCUUCAAAAUCUUUUUUGUGUUAGUGUUCUGCUGAAGAAAGAAAGCUGUGAAUGUUUGAAAUAACGAGUGAGUGAAUGAGUUUUCUUUUUUGAGUAAAAUGUCCCUGUAAUUGAUAUCUGUACCUAAUGUACAAUAAUUUGUAUCUUUGUAGGUCUGGUGAGGAAUGCUGCACUUAUGUUAUUGCAAGCAUUAUUUCAAGAAAAUCCCAGCUUCCUUUACUGUGUAAAUAGUGAACCCAAAGGUCCCACACCAACCAUAGUGUUCAACGGCUCUCCUGAUCUUUUCAAAUCUGAAUGUAUCAACUUUAUAAUGGACAAUGUGAACUUAAUAUGUGGAAGACAUUGACAUCACAGGCUGUGGAAUGACUGUGUCACAGGUCGGAGAAGCGGACCGCCCCUGUCGCGGAUCACGCUCCUCCUAGUUCCACCUCGAGGAGGUCCCAAAGCACCCCAAUGACCAGACAAACCAGAGGGGGGAGUAUUACGGGGCCAGGGACGUUGGAGGGGUUUCCACGUGACUCCAGCUGGAACACCGCUACAGAGCGUAUCUGGGUGGGUUGGGCACACACCGUCGCGGCGGCCCCUGAUGGCAUCCACAAGGGUCCAAGACCCUCCUAAGCUCCUAGCCGUAGCAGAACUACGUAUUUCAGCACCCGAAGGACUAACAACCCAGCCGGCAUCUGCAGCGUAUAUCCAACGCGAUCAAACUUCACUCUGACAAGUAACUUCCUAUACACAACCACGCCGUCCUUUCGCCCGGACCAGCCCCGCACUCUUUCCGCCCGCUACCUAGCGGUCGCCGGAUCAGCAGAGCCUGCGGACUCUUCGGAGGCUGGUCUUCGUUGUGCUGCCCAAGGCGGAAGUUGACUCGCCCGAAAAUCGACCCUUCCAGUAACUUCUACUUUCUCUCUUUAUAUUCUCCUCCCAGGCGUGGCUCGCCCAACCAUCGCUCGCCACGUCACUCACACAGCUGUGCCUUGUUUCAGCGAGUGCGGGGAUUACCGGGGAACCCGGAAGUGCCGGUGUCUGUACAAACCGGUCCGGGCGGAACCUCUUCACUCUCCUUUUGGUUCCGCCCCGCAUAGUCACUCCGUGACAACUAUUUGCGUUUUUUUUUCUCCUCAAUGUUCAAUACCCUUUUGCCAUUAAGCACACAGUGACUUUAAUUUAUAAAAUAUAUGCUUAAGUUUUAAUACCUGUACAAAACAAAUGUACAAUCAACUUGUGUAAAUUGUCAUUCUAUUUAAUAGAUUGUUCAUGAAUUGUCUUUAAAUGCAUUGUGAUUUCGGUAACACUUUACAAUAAAGUUCAUUAGUUAACAUUAGUUAAUGUAUUAACUAACUUGAACAAACCAUAAGCAAUACAUUUGUUACAGUAUUUAUUCAUCUUUGUUAAUGUUAGUUAAUAAAAAUUUAAGCUUUAAUUGCUUGUUCAUGUUAGUUCAGAGUGCAUUAACUAAUGUUAACAAGAUUUUAAUAAAGUAAUUGUUGAAAUUAACAUUAACAAAGAUUAAUAAAGGCUGUAUAAGUGCA